rnacentral:misc_RNA from 1 species
AACAAGGUUUCUGUAGGUGAACCUGCAGAAGGAUCAUUAGUGAAGAUUUGGGCAGGCCAUACGGACGCCAAAAAGUGUCCCUGGCUCCCUACCACCACUAUGCAUCCACAAUCGUAACAACGUUGUCGUGGAGAAACGUGUCAGAGAAGCUUUAUGGAGUAUUCUUGGUUCCUUAGAGGAAGUAAAAGUCGUAACAAGGUUUCCGUAGGUGAACCUGCGGAAGGAUCAUUACAGAAAGUAAACGCGGAUCAAACCGCGAACUUCUUAAACCUUUGACGAUCGACUCAUGUUGCCUCGGUGGGUUCGCCCGCCGGAGGAUACAUCAAAACUCCUGUUUUAACGGUGUUGUCUGAGCUACAAGCAACGAAUCAAAACUUUCAACAACGGAUCUCUUGGUUCUGGCAUCGAUGAAGAACGCAGCGAAAUGCGAUAAGUAGUGUGAAUUGCAGAAUUCAGUGAAUCAUCGAAUCUUUGAACGCACAUUGCGCCCCUUGGUAUCCCGAGGGGCAUGCCUGUUCGAGCGUCAUUUCACCCCUCAAGCCUGGCUUGGUGUUGGGCGACGUCCUCUUUGGGGACGCGUCUCAAAACGCUCGGCGGCGUGGCACCGGCUUUAAGCGUAGCAGAAUCUUAUCUUUCGCUUUGAAAGUCGGGG